UCCUGGUUUGCUCAGUUGGUAGAGCGCUCCACUGGAAAUGGACCAAUCCCUGGUUCGAUGCAUGCAGGACCAUGCG
rnacentral:tRNA from 1 species